rnacentral:rRNA from 1 species
UACGGAGGGUGCGAGCGUUGUCCGGAAUCACUGGGCGUAGAGGGCGCGUAGGCGGCCUGAUAAGUAGGGGGUGAAAUCCUGCGGCUUAACCGCAGGGCUGCCUUCUAAACUGUCAGGCUCGAGCACAGUAGAGGCAGGUGGAAUUCCCGGUGUAGCGGUGGAAUGCGUAGAGAUCGGGAAGAACAUCAGUGGCGAAGGCGGCCUGCUGGGCUGUUGCUGACGCUGAGGCGCGACAGCGUGGGGAGCAAACAGG